GAGUCACUCUUAACAAGACAGGAGAAAGCAGUUUCCUGCUUUCACGCCUUCCCUUUUUUCUUUUCUCUCUUCCUUCCUUCUUCCGUUCCUCUUCCUUCCCUCCCUCUUGACCUUCCUCUCUCCCUCCCUUCUUUCCUUCCUUCCUGUGGCUCUCCUUUGUGAGUGACCUACCUCCGCUUCCUACUCUGUGACUUUGCACAUUCAAUCAUUGCCUGGCUCCACCAGCAGUAUAUAAGGUGAAAGAGGAUCCUGCCAGCUGUUCUAGGCCCAGAGGACACCUCUCUCUCUCUCUCUGUCACUCACACACACACACACACACACACACACUCUCUCUCUCUCUCUCACACACACCCACUUAUUGAUGGGGUAAUAGGAUCAAGAGGUAGCUUUGCAUCAUCAAAAAGAAGUCAGUCAUUCUAGCCUGGAGCUUUAGAAGACGAAGUAAAAAAGAAGUCAGACAGUCCUAGCUUUGAAUCCUGGCCCAGCCACUUACUAGGUGGGAGACCUUGGAUGAGGAAACUGAGGCUGAAACAGGCAAUUAAUUUGUGCAGGUGGCACGUUUACUACAUGGUGGAACCAGGAUCUGAACUCAAAUUUGUCUGUGAAUGUUUUCAGAAUAUUCACCUACAUGUUGCCCAAAGUCAAGGCUGCCCUGGGGCAGUGUGUAUACCUGAAUGACAAUCAGUACAGGCACUGAGGGAAGGGAGAACCGAUGCUGGAGAGGCAAGCAUAACUGCCACUGUUAACUUUGUGACCAAACUUCAUGUCUUGUGGCCUAAAGGACAAUCGUAUCCCUUCUGGGGGAAUUUCCCCACCUCCAUGUUGAAGCCAAGGAUGACUAGUACUCCAUGGAAAAGAGGUCAACAUGAUAACCAGGAGAUGUGGUCAUGGGGCAUUAAAAGGUUCGAAGCUGUUCCAGAAAGGAUGUCAUUGAUGUGGAAUACAGGAACUGUGGAUGCCUCCUGAAUGGGAGCUGCAAACGAUUAUCAGAGUCAAGCAAGAGGAAUGGCAAGACUCUGGUGCUUCCCCGAGUGGCCCCCUGUGGUGUGGCAUGUCCGCUUCUCUUGGCAUCUGUGAGUAUAACUAUCUUUUUGAUAACAGUCAUCUAGUCUGCUGGCCUUGCUGUACCUAAAUAAUAAUAAUAAAACCAUUAACUACAUUUUAAAACAAGAAACCCUAUGCUCCAGAGGGGUUCCUUCUGCUUCCCAAACAGGUCCCUGCUUUCCUAUGCCCAUGUCUUUUCCUGUGCCUUUCCUCGUUCCCAGAAUAAACUUUCUCUGCCACAUCUGCAUCUUACAAUUCUAUCCAUCUUUCAAUAUAUUCUUGCUGGCAUUGUCUUGAAUCUCUGGUGACAAUAUAGACUUAAAGAUGAGAGUGUGAGGUUCAGAUUGGUUUGUGACUUAUACUAUAUCACACAGCAAGUUGAAGGCGGCAUCAGGCUCGAAGCCCAGCAGGCUUUCUUUGUGCCCCUUCCAAUCAUUCUAUUGGCUUAGGUCAACUGAGUGUGUGCAACAGAAAUGGAUCUUAGUUAACUUGAGAACAAAAGGGAUUUUCCAGAAAGAUGCUGGGGCAGCUCAAAG
rnacentral:lncRNA from 1 species